AGAAGACAGAGAUACAGCAUACAGUGUACAGUAUAAACAUUAGGAGGUGGGUACUGUCUUCUCCCACAGCAAAUAAUUCUCACCAAGCCAACCACACACUGUCAGGCGCUAGCUGUGAAAAGAAUGCGAAGAGCACGUCGCGUCUCCACGCACAUGACUCAGGGAGCUAAACACAUCAGUAUCCUGCUCAAAUUACCUUGAAAGAGACAAAGUCACCAGCACUCCUGAUAAGGAAGCGAGUGGGAGAGAGAGUCGGGGUGGGAUCC